GAUGAACGCUGGCGGCGUGCCAAAUACAUGCAAGUCGAGCGAACGGACGAGAAGCUUGCUUCUCUGAUGUUAGCGGCGGACGGGUGAGUAACACGUGGAUAACCUACCUAUAAGACUGGGAUAACUUCGGGAAACCGGAGCUAAUACCGGAUAAUAUUUUGAACCGCAUGGUUCAAAAGUGAAAGACGGUCUUGCUGUCACUUAUAGAUGGAUCCGCGCUGCAUUAGCUAGUUGGUAAGGUAACGGCUUACCAAGGCAACGAUGCAUAGCCGACCUGAGAGGGUGAUCGGCCACACUGGAACUGAGACACGGUCCAGACUCCUACGGGAGGCAGCAGUAGGGAAUCUUCCGCAAUGGGCGAAAGCCGGACGGAGCAACGCCGCGUGAGUGAUGAAGGUCUUCGGAUCGUAAAACUCUGUUAUUAGGGAAGAACAUAUGUGUAAGUAACUGUGCACAUCUUGACGGUACCUAAUCAGAAAGCCACGGCUAACUACGUGCCAGCAGCCGCGGUAAUACGUAGGUGGCAAGCGUUAUCCGGAAUUAUUGGGCGUAAAGCGCGCGUAGGCGGUUUUUUAAGUCUGAUGUGAAAGCCCACGGCUCAACCGUGGAGGGUCAUUGGAAACUGGAAAACUUGAGUGCAGAAGAGGAAAGUGGAAUUCCAUGUGUAGCGGUGAAAUGCGCAGAGAUAUGGAGGAACACCAGUGGCGAAGGCGACUUUCUGGUCUGUAACUGACGCUGAUGUGCGAAAGCGUGGGGAUCAAACAGGAUUAGAUACCCUGGUAGUCCACGCCGUAAACGAUGAGUGCUAAGUGUUAGGGGGUUUCCGCCCCUUAGUGCUGCAGCUAACGCAUUAAGCACUCCGCCUGGGGAGUACGACCGCAAGGUUGAAACUCAAAGGAAUUGACGGGGACCCGCACAAGCGGUGGAGCAUGUGGUUUAAUUCGAAGCAACGCGAAGAACCUUACCAAAUCUUGACAUCCUUUGACAACUCUAGAGAUAGAGCCUUCCCCUUCGGGGGACAAAGUGACAGGUGGUGCAUGGUUGUCGUCAGCUCGUGUCGUGAGAUGUUGGGUUAAGUCCCGCAACGAGCGCAACCCUUAAGCUUAGUUGCCAUCAUUAAGUUGGGCACUCUAAGUUGACUGCCGGUGACAAACCGGAGGAAGGUGGGGAUGACAUCAAAUCAUCAUGCCCCUUAUGAUUUGGGCUACACACGUGCUACAAUGGACAAUACAAAGGGCAGCGAAACCGCGAGGUCAAGCAAAUCCCAUAAAGUUGUUCUCAGUUCGGAUUGUAGUCUGCAACUCGACUACAUGAAGCUGGAAUCGCUAGUAAUCGUAGAUCAGCAUGCUACGGUGAAUACGUUCCCGGGUCU
rnacentral:rRNA from 1 species